rnacentral:rRNA from 1 species
GGGCCCGCACAAGCGGUGGAGUAUGUGGUUUAAUUCGAUGCAACGCGAAGAACCUUACCAGGGUUUGACAUCCUGCGAAUCUCUUGGAAACAGGAGAGUGCCUUCGGGAACGCAGUGACAGGUGGUGCAUGGCUGUCGUCAGCUCGUGUCGUGAGAUGUUGGGUUAAGUCCCGCAACGAGCGCAACCCACGUCUUUAGUUGCCAGCAUUUAGUUGGGCACUCUAGAGAGACUGCCGGUGAUAAACCGGAGGAAGGUGUGGAUGACGUCAAGUCAUCAUGCCCCUUACAUCCUGGGCUACACACGUACUACAAUGCUACGGACAAAGGGCAGCAAGUUCGCGAGGACAAGCAAAUCCCAUAAACCGUGGCUCAGUUCGGAUUGGAGUCUGCAACUCGACUCCAUGAAGUCGGAAUC